rnacentral:tRNA from 1 species
UGUUCUGUGGCUCACUUGGUUAAAGCGCCGGUCUGUCUCAUAUGGAGACAUGGGUUCAAAUCCCACCAGAGCGA